GACGAACGCUGGCGGCGUGCUUAACACAUGCAAGUCGAGCGAGUGGAUUCCCUUCGGGGAUGAAGCUAGCGGCGGACGGGUGAGUAACACGUGGGCAACCUGCCUUAUAGAGGGGGAUAGCCUUCCGAAAGGAAGAUUAAUACCGCAUAACACCAGAUUAUCGCAUGGUAGACUGAUCAAAGGAGCAAUCCGCUAUAAGAUGGGCCCGCGUCGCAUUAGCUAGUUGGUGAGGUAACGGCUCACCAAGGCGACGAUGCGUAGCCGACCUGAGAGGGUGAUCGGCAACAUUGGGACUGAGGCACGGCCCAGACUCCUACGGGAGGCAGCAGUGGGGAAUAUUGCACAAUGGGGGAAACCCUGAUGCAGCAACGCCGCGUGAGUGAUGAAGGCCUUCGGGUUGUAAAGCUCUUUGAUCAGGGACGAUAAUGACGGUACCUGAAGAACAAGCCACGGCUAACUACGUGCCAGCCGCCGCGGUAAGAC
rnacentral:rRNA from 1 species